rnacentral:rRNA from 1 species
CCUACGGGAGGCAGCAGUGAGGAAUAUUGGUCAAUGGCCGGAAGGCUGAACCAGCAAUGCCGCGUGAAGGUCAGUGCCCUAUGGGCGUUAAACUUCUUUUGUGCGGGAGCAAUAAUGGUCACGUGUGGCCAGAAGAGAGUACCGUACGAAUAAGCAUCGGCUCACUCCGUGCCAGCAGCCGCGGGCAUACGGGGGAUGCAAGAGUUAUCAGGAGUUAUUGGGGUUAAAGGGUGCGUAGGCGGUGAGGUAAGUCAGCGGUGAAAUGCACCCGCUCAACGGGGUGAAGUGCCAUUGAUACUGCCUUGCUGGAAUGCGGAUGCCGUGGGAGGAAUGUGUGGUGUAGCGGUGAAAUGCAUAGAUAUCACACAGAACACCGAUUGCGAAGGCAUCUCACGAAUCCGCGAUUGACGCUGAUGCACGAAAGCGUGGGUAUCAAACAGGAUUAGAUACCCUUGUAGUC